rnacentral:tRNA from 1 species
GGAGGGGUGCCAGAGUGGUCGAAUGGAACAGUCUUGAAAACUGUCGGGCCUGCAAAGGUCCCGUGGGUUCGAAUCCCACCCCCUCCG